GACGAACGCUGGCGGCGUGCCUAAUACAUGCAAGUCGAACGCAUUUUCUUUCACCGUAGCUUGCUACACCGAAAGAAAAUGAGUGGCGAACGGGUGAGUAACACGUGGGUAACCUGCCCAUCAGCGGGGGAUAACACUUGGAAACAGGUGCUAAUACCGCAUAAUUCCAUUUAUUGCAUGGUAGAUGGAUGAAAGGCGCUUUUGCGUCACUGAUGGAUGGACCCGCGGUGCAUUAGCUAGUUGGUGGGGUAACGGCCUACCAAGGCUGCGAUGCAUAGCCGACCUGAGAGGGUGAUCGGCCACACUGGGACUGAGACACGGCCCAGACUCCUACGGGAGGCAGCAGUAGGGAAUCUUCGGCAAUGGACGCAAGUCUGACCGAGCAACGCCGCGUGAGUGAAGAAGGUUUUCGGAUCGUAAAACUCUGUUGUUAGAAAAGAACAAGGAUGAGAGUGGAAAGUUCAUCCCUUGACGGUAUCUAACCAGAAAGCCACGGCUAACUACGUG
rnacentral:rRNA from 1 species